AUAUUUGAGGUGUUUUUGUUGAAUUUUUUUAGGAAAUAAAAGAGUUUUUCUGUGGGGUACAGGUGGGUUUUUUUUUUUUUUAAGCCAGGAGGUGUUGCUGGGGGUGGGUAUCACAAAGUCCAAUGUCACAAGGUUGGGUUAUCAGUUAAAGCAGGAAUGAUUUAGACAGGAGCAAUGGUGGAAUGUUGCAAGGUUGGUUAAUUGGGCUCUGCAGGAGCAGCCAUUUUCCUUCUUUUUGUGAUUUUUCUGUUACUUCAGAUUCUCUGGCUCCAGGAGGCCAUCCAGAGGGUAUAUGUGGGUCAUAGAGGUCACCAUGGCCUAACCAUGGUACAGCCCAUGGUACAGUCAGUUUAAAAACCUUACACCAACCUCAGGAGAUCUGCCUGCCUUGGCCUUCCAAAGUACUGGGAUUACAGGUUGAGCUACUGCAUCCUGCCUGUUUUACUGUCACACUGGCUGGACUGCAAUGGUGAAAUCUCAGCUCACUAUAACCUCUGCCUCCCAGGUUCAAGAAAUUCUCUUGCCUCAGCCUCCUGAGUAGCUGUGAUUAACGUGCACACCACCACAACCAGCUGCUUUUAUGUAUUUUUAGUAGAGAUGCGGUUUUACUAUGUUGGCCAAACUGGUCUCUAGCUCCUGACCUCGUAAUCCACCUGCCUUGGCCUCUCAAAGUGCUGGGAUUACAGAUGUGAGGCACCACACCUGCCCACAGUGAAGUAUUAUUUAGGCAUUAAAAAUGUAAUACUGAUAAAUAUUACAACAUGGAUGUUCCUGGAUAUAUUAUGCUAAGUGAAAGAAGCCAGUUUUAAAAGGUCACAUAUUAUGUAAUCCUAUUUAUAUGGAAAUGCAGAAUAGAGAAAUCUCUAGAACAGAAAUUAAUCUAGUGCUUGUUUAGGGCUGGCGGUAGGGAUGGGAAUGGGGAAAUAGGAGGGGAGAUAAGAAUUGAAUGAUAGCUAAAGGGCAUAAAUGUAUGCCAGACACCACUGAAUUGUGCACUCCAAAUUUUAUUCACCCUUUCCAUUUUCACCUUUACCUCAUCUUGUCAAAGGAUAGUCAGUAGUCAACUAGCAUACCUUAUUUUUGCAUAUUUUGAGACAAAGUUUUUUUUUUGUCACCCAGGCUGGAGUGCAGUGGCACAAUCUUGGCUCACUGCAACCUUUGCCUCCUAGGUUCAAGUGACUCUCCUGCCUCAGCCUCCCAAGUAGCUGGGAUUACAGGUGCCUGACACCACACCCAGCUACUUUUUGAAUAUUUAGUAGAGAUGAGUUUUAGCCGUGUUGGCCAGGCUGGUCUUGAACGUUUUACUUCAGGUGAUCCACCUGCCUUGGCCUCCCACAGUGCUGGGAUUACAGGCAUGAGCCACCACGCCCAGCCUAGUAUAUAAACCUUGAGGAUCCUUUUUGGCAGCAAAGUGAUUCUCCUCUUUUCUUAUGGCGACAUAAUACAGAAUUAAAAACUUUAAUUUUUAUGGCAACUGAGGAGUCUUUAGUAUUUAGUAAUUAGUUACUAAUAGUUACAAAUAGUUGCUAAUACUAAUAGUUAUUAAUAUAGUUACUAAUACUAAUAGUUACUAAAUACUAAAUUAUUAUUUGGUAAUUACUAAUAGUUACUAAUUAUUUACUACUUACUAAAUAGUAAAGUAUAAUUUUGUGUUCAAAAAUUAUAAUAAUGCAUUACUAAGGUUCAUAUUCAGUAUCCCAUUGCUGAGUCUGGCUUCUUUUUGUUGUUGUUGUUGAGACAGAGUCUCACUUUGUCACCCAGUCUGGAGUGGAAUGGCACGAUCUUGGCUCACUGCAACCUCCACCUCCCAGAUUCAAGUGAUUCUCCUGCCUCAACCUCCUAAGUAGCUGGGAUUACAGGCACCUGCCACCACACCUCGCUAAUUUUUUGUAUUUUUAGUGGAGAUAGGGUUUUGCCAUGUUAGCCAGGCUGGUCUCAAACUCCUGACCUCAUGAUCCAUCUGCCUCAGCCUCCCAAAGUGUUGGGAUUACAGGCGUGAGCCACAGCUGAGUCUGGUCUGAGUCUGGCUUCUUAUUAAACUUGCCAAUCUUGUGACAUGCCUACUGGUUAUGCACAUGAAUAGAUCUCAUUGGCACUCCACAAGGGCACUUUGUUAUCGGCGUAGUGCUGAGUUGAUUUUGUUUUCAAUUGCUUUUCUUGCUUUUAAAUUACUAGCUAUUAUUAGUCUUGCAAUUUAAUUUGUUAUAGCCUACUUGGCUAACACUAGCCCUAGACUGCAGAGGUGUAUGUUUGGCUCAGCAAUAUUUGGGUCUAUUAUGUUUCCAUGGAAGGCAUCUAUCACUUAAGGUAAAGCACAUAUUUUCCUAAAACUUACUUGUACAGUGUCACUUCAUUGGUGAUAUGUGAUGCCUGAGUCUGCUAUUUGAAUAGCUUGCAUCAUGCUCUCAGAGUAAGAGUAACACUAUUUCUUUAUUAAUGAUUUAUGCACAGGUUUAUUGUGUAUCCGGCCAGGACUAGGGUCAAGUGACGAGGCAUUAACUCUCGGGGUUUGUGAGUGCUGAUCCUGAAUGUGAACACCUUCUUGAGUUUUAAACCCCAGGUGUUUCACAUGUCUCAUCCUAAUCUUGACCUUGCGGUCUACAAAAUCCUAUACAUAAGGCCUAAAAAUAUAAGUCAUUCAAGGCUGGGCAUGGUGGCUCAUGCCGUAAUCCCAGUACUUUGGGAGGCUGAGGUGGGUAGAUCACCUGAGGCCAGGAGUUCGAGACCAGUCUAGCCAACAUGGUGAAACCCCAUCUCUACUAAAAAUGCAAAAAAAUUUAGCCAAGUGUGGUGGCAUGCAUGUGUAGUCCCAGCUAUUCUAGAGGCUGAGGCAGGAGAAUCACUUGAACCUGGGAGACAGGGGUUUCAGUGAGCUGAGAUCACACCCCUGCACUCCAGCCUGGGCAAUAGAGUAAGACCAUCUCAAAAAAAAAUGUCAUUCAUAAACUUUGUUAACAUGAGUUUCAGAAUCCAUUUCUCAAAUUCUUUGUUGGAGAAUUUGGGAAUAAGAAGUAAAGUUGGGCCGAGUCUAAUCACAUUGUUCUUUAAAAACAGAGAAACUUUCCUGCCAUGGUCAGAGGGAGAUGGGAUGAGGGAAGAAUGGUUAGAGAGAUGCAAUGUUGUUAGGUUUGAAGAUAGAGAAAGGUGACCAGGAGCCAAAGAAUGUGGGCAGCCUCGAGAAGCUAGAAAAGAUGAGAAAGCAUGCUCCCUAGACCCUCCAGUUAGGACUGCAGCCCUGCCAGUGCCUUGAAUUUAGUCCAGUGAGACCAUUAGACUUCUGACCCAUAGAAGAUCAUAAAUUUGUGUUAAAACAGCCACUGAAGCCAAGUGCUAUGGCUCAUGCCUGUAAUCCCAGCACUUUGAGAGGCCAAGGCGGGCAGAUCACCUGAGGUCAGGAGUUCAAGACCAGCCUGGCCAAUGUGGUGAAACCCUGACUCUACUAAAAAAAAAAAAAAAAAAAAAAAUACAAAAAUUAGCUGAGUGUGGUGGUGUGCACCUGUAAUCCCAGCUACUCUGGAGGCUGAGGCAGGAGAAUGGCUUGAACCCCCAUAGGUGGAAGUUGUAGUGAGCCUAGAUCGCACCCUUGCACUCCAACCUGGGUGAGAAGAGUGAGACUGUCUCACAAGCAAGCAAGCAAACAAACAAAAAACCCACUGAGUUUUUGUCCAUCUGUUAAAACAGCCAAAUGAAACUAACACACCUCCUGAGAUAAAUGAACAUUUUAAGUAUUGUUUUUUGUCUUUUUAUAUACUGUAGCUUAGUGGGCUGAAGCAUGGGGAUCUGGCUUUACUAUUUGAGAUUUGAAUAGCAGUUCCAGAAUUCCCACUUGUUCUAAUGAGCAGAACAAGCUGCUUUCAGGUGGAAAGACCUCAGGACCUCCCUUGGUGCUGCAGUGCCCGCCGUGGUGGGCUUGAAGUGCUUGAAGCAGGAAAGUGAUCUUAUCAAAUUCUGAUGCUACAGUUGUUGCCACCAAAGCUGUUAAGUGGAUAUCGUGGCUGAAACCCAAGGCCAUGUGGAAAGUUAUGUCUACUCUGGUGGGAGCCAGAGUUCACUGCUGCUUUCUGAAGCCCGUAACCUCUACUUGAAUGAAAGAGGGUCUAUCCCAUAAAUUUAAAAACCAUUUUCAAGAGCUAAACAAAAAUUUGAAUCUUCUGAUUGAAAGUGCCCCCCCUUUUUUGUUGUUUGUUUUUAACUUGAUGUGGAAUCUUACUAUAUUGCCCAGGCUGGUCUUGAACUUCUGGGCUCAAACUAUCCUCCCCCCUCAGCCUCCUGAGCAGCUGGUAUUAUAGGCAUGUAACACUGAGACUGGCUUUGAAAGUACAUUAAUUAAUUUUUAAUUAAUUUCUAAAAGGAAAUCCACACAUUAGAUAUUUUCUGAUAAAAUUUCAAGUCCUCAAAGUCAAAGAAAAAAUCCUAAAAGAUUAUAAAGAGCAUAGAUUAUCUAGCAAAGGAAAAGUUCUAAUUAGUAACAGAGUCUUCAUUAGUGACAUUUGAUACUAAAAUUAAUUAGAGCAAAGUUCCAAGGGAGAUUAUCUUAAAUUCAGAAUUAUGUACCAACAAAUCUAUCAUUCAAGAGUGAAAACAAAUAUAAGAACUUUCAGAACAUUUAUUAUUUUUUAUUUUUUGAGAUGGAGUUUCGCUCGUUACCCAGGCUGGAGUGCAAUGGCGCGAUCUCGGCUCACUGCAACAUCUGCCUCCUGGGUUCAGGCAAUUCUCCUGCCUCAGCCUCCUGAGUAGCUGGGAUUACAGGCACGCACCACCAUGCCCAGCUAAUUUUUUGUAUCUUUAGUAGAGAUGGGGUUUCACCACUUUGACCAGGAUGGUCUCGAUCUCUUGACCUCAUGAUCCACCCACCUCGGCCUCCCAAAGUGCUGGGAUUACAGGCUUGAGCCACCGCGCCCAGCCCCAGAACAUUUAUUAAUAAUUAUCCAAGGAUGUAGUCUAAUAAUAUAAAAUAUUAAUUUAAGAAAGAGAUAAGUGGAAUGUAAAAAAAUAGCAAGCAGAGAAAUAAGUUAAACCCAUAGUUAAAUAUAAGUAGUUGUUGAUAACAUUACUUUGAUACUGAUGGUAAUUGUGAGGAAAUUGCCUAAAAAGUAGAAGCAAAGAUUAGAUAAAUCUGGUGUAUUCUCUCUUCCUCCCUAAUUCUACUUUUGACAGAAAAAGUCUGUUUUCCAAUUCUUAAGACUUUUUUCUUUUUCUUGCCUUAUCAAGCUGGCUAUAGUUUCCUUUAAAAUGUUGAAUAUGAAAGUGGUAAUGUCAUCCUUAUUACUUUCUUCAAAUAAAAUACUUCUGAGAUUUCAUCUUUAAGAAUAACAUGUUUGCGACCAGGCGCAGUGGCUCAUGCCUCUAAUCCCAGCACUUUGGGAGGCCGAGGUGGGUGGAUCACGAGGUCAGGAGUUUGAGACCAGUCUGGCCAACAUAGUGAAACCCCAUCUCUACUAAAAAUACAAAACAUUAGCCAGAUGUGGUGGUGUGCACCUGUAAUCCCAGCUACUUGGGAGGCUGAGCAGAAGAAUCAUGUAAACCCAGGAGGCGGAGGUUGCAGUGAGCUGGGAUUGCACCAGUGUACUCCAACUUAGUCAAGAGUGCAAGACUCCGUCUCAAAGAGAGAGAGAAUAAAAAGAAUAACAUGUUUGCAGUAGAUUUUUGGUAGGUAGUUAUAUAUCCAGCUUACCCGUGAGUUUCUUCAUUUAGCCUCUUCUUCUUCUUUGGAACCAAACCAGGUCCAUAGACAUUCUUUCUUCCAGUUCAGGCAUUCUGAUUGCAUUGGUGUUAAAAGAAGCCGGGACUUGUGCUUUUGUUCCUCUAAGAGUGUCCUCUCACCUUGAAGAUACCGACUUUGCUGGCUCAUUCUGAGAUUUGUGGAAAUCAAUAUCCCGUGCCUGCUUCUUCCCACAUGCAAUACUGCUUGAACUUUGCUGCUCUGGAAACUCCUUCACAUACUUCGUGGUUUACAGUUUCUAUUUCUUCUAGUUUCAAUGAAGUUAGAGUUGCUAGUUCUCAUUCUCUUAUAUUAUUCACUGAAGGGGAUUACUGACUUUUUAUUGACAUCUUCCAGCAAAAAUCACAGCAGAAUUCUUUUUUUUUUUUGAGACGGAGUUUCGCUCUUGUUACCCAGGCUGGAGUGCAAUGGCGAGAUCUCGGCUCACCGCAACCUCCUCCUCCUGGGUUCAGGCAAUUCUCCUGCCUCAGCCUCCUGAGUAGCUGGGAUUACAGGCACGCGCCACCAUGCCCAGCUAAUUUUUUGCAUUUUUAGUAGAGACGGGGUUUCACCAUGUUGACCAGGAUGGUCUCGAUCUGUUGACCUCGUGAUCCACCCGCCUCGGCCUCCCAAAAUGCUGGGAUUACAGGCUUGAGCCACCGCGCCCGGCCAAGCAGAAUUCUUAUCAGAAAUUUACAAGCUAAUCCUAGUUAAUUGGCAAGUGCAAGGACCAAAAAUAGCCGUGAACAUUUUGAGCAUUAUAACUGAAAUGAUGCUAUUGCUGUUAGAAAAAAAAUAGAUAAAUGGAAAAUAAUAGCUUAGAAACUGACCCAAGGAGCUUAGACUGAGAAGCAAAUAGCACUAAAAAUCAGCACUGUUUAGACAGCACCACAGCUUCUUUUCCUCAGCAAGGCGACAGGGACUUUCCCUUAGCCGCCGCCCCCGGCCAAGCUCCGCCGCGCCCACAGCCCGCGGCCGCCAUGCAAUUUAUGUUACUUUUUAGUCGUCAGGGAAAGUUUCAACUGCAAAAACGGUAUGUCCCACUAUCAGACAAAGAGAAGAAAAAGAUCACCAGAGAACUUGUUCAGACCAUUUUAGCACGGAAACCUAAAAUGUGCAGCUUCCUUGAGUGGCGAGAUCUGAAGAUUGUUUACAAAAGAUAUGCUAGUCUGUAGUUUUGCUGUGCUAUUGAGGAUCAGGACAAUGAACUAAUUACCCUGGAAAUAAUUCAUCGUUACGUGGAAUUACUUGACAAGUAUUUUGUCAGUGUCUGUGAACUAGAUAUCAUCUUUAAUUUUGAGAAGGCUUAUUUUAUUUUGGAUGAGUUUCUUUUGGGAGGGGAAGUUCAGGAAACAUCCAAGAAAAAUGUCCUUAAAGCAAUUGAGCAGGCGGAUCUACUGCAGGAGCCACGUCAUAAAUAUUUUAAUGUCCCUGUGUACUAAAUGACUACCCAACGAGUAUGCAGAAUUUCACAGAGGAAAUAGAAUGCUGAUAUACAUAUGAAAGAAAAUAUCCUCAGCAUGGUGAUUUAUUAUCUUGUAUAAUUAUAGUAGAAAAUUUCAGAACUAGUACUUUUAUGAUUGUAUUUUUUUCCUGUUCACAUUCCAAAAUUUUCUGUUUUAUUUUCAUUCUAUAUGUGAUCUUGAUACAGCUCAUUUCUCUCUGAAACUGAUUUAAUCUCAUCUUGAUAAAAUAUGACCUAGAAGUGUUUUGAGUAACAUUAAAUCUUAAACACAUACAUAUUAUCAUUAAUGAACCACCUAUGAUUAAUCUUACAAGAGGAAAACAAGGCAAUCAUUAAAAUAUUUACCAAAGAUAAUGUAGCUGAAGUGCUAGGUCAAAAUGAGCAGUACCAUAAUACAUAGUAUGGUUUGGUCUUCAAAUAUUGAGGUUAAAAAAAGAAACCAUUUUGUGUGAAUAUCUUACAAUCUGUAUGAGGUAAUGUGUUCUAAUGUAUCACAUAAAAGUAAAUGUGAAAAUAAUACAAGAAACUAAAAUUAAUUUGUGCUAUUAUAUAUUUAAGGUUAAAACAUUCAGUCUUAGGAAAUUUUGUAGUGCCACAUUUAUUGAAUCACACUUGUGCUAUAUAAUAUCAAACAAUCCCUUUAAGAACUUAUUAGAGAGCUAUGUCUGAAAAGUCUGUUUUGCAAUAUCUGUUGCUUAACAAUAACUCUUUCAAAGCAUUAAUGCUGAGUUUAUAUAGUUCAAAAAUUCUAAUGUUCAGUUUUAAUGCCUAAAUACUUAUAUUUUACUAGUGAUGGCGUUUUAAUAUAUUAAGUCCUUGUUUAAAUACUUAAUGCUUUGUUAACUGUGGCAUUAUAUUUAUGAAUUUUAAAACCUUUAAUAUUGAUAACGAUUGCAUAUUCUUUUAAUAAAACAUGCAGCAUACUUUAUUAUAAGAGGAAAACAAUUUAUUGUUUGUAUCUAGAGAGCAUAAAGCCUGAGUUAAGUAACUUAUUAAACAAUAACUUCACAAGAUGUUCAAACUGAUUUACCACUGAAAGAAGAUGUAUGAAAAUGUAUUUUGAUCUCACUUAGCAUUAGGCAUGUAUACAGAUAAGAUUUUCCAUUAACAUUCUCACUGUAAUGCACUACAUUUGAAGCCCCUGGAUGUGCUAUCAAAUGGGAAAUUUAGCACCAUACAUUGGAAGCAUUGAAACACAUUGGUCUUUCAUUUUCAUUUUUCCCCUCCAUUCCUCCUUCUGCCCCACAAUAUGUUAUUCAUCUGGUUUUAAUGCUACAUAAAUAUGCAUUGUCUCAUGCCUGUUUGUGUUGGAUGCCUUGUGUUAAGCUGUAACAAAAUGUUACUUCUUUUGCUAUCUGUAUACAGCUGCUUGCUUUAAAUUACUAGAUUCUGAAAUAGCUUUCCUCUCAUGUCUAAAAUAAAAGUAUUGCAUGUAAAAAAAAAUCAGCACUAUUCAAUAAAUGGUGCUGGAAACGUUAAGUAUUCAAAUGGACAAACAUACAUUAGAUGCAUUGCUUAUGCCCCCUCCCACAAAUAAUUUUCACAUAUAUCAAAAUGAUAAAUCAAAAUCAGAAAAACCAUUAAUAGAAAAUAUGAAAGAAUAAUCUUAUGGUUUCAGGGUAUGGCAGGCUUUCUUAGAGAAGGCUUAAAAUGCAUAGACCAUUAUAGUACCAGGAUGGCUGGAGUAAGAUAAGGGAGGAGGUGCAAACUGGGUGAGGUAGCUCAUGCCUGUAUUCCCAGCACUUUGGGAGGCCAAGGCAGGAGGAUUGCUUGAAGCCAGGAGUUCAAGAUUGGCUUGAGCUACAUAGGGAGAACCUGUCUUUACAAAAAAUAAAAAUAAAGUUAGCCAGGUGUAGUGGCACACACCUGUGGUUCCAGCUACUUAGGAGGCUGAGGCAGGAGAAUUGCUUGAGCUCAGGAGGUUGAGGCUGCAGUGAGCUGUGAUUGCACCAUUGCACUCCAGCCUGAGUGACAGAGUGAGAGGCUGUCCACCCUGCUGCCCUGCAAAAAAAAGAAAAAAGAAAGAAAGAAAAGGAAAAGGUGAGAGGCCCAGGGUGAGGAGGGAUGGAGAGAAGAGUUGGGCAGAUCCUGUGGCAACCUACAGGCUUUAAUGAGUUAAAGACUUUUUGGCAAAGUGGUAAAAGUACUUGAAUCAGGAAAAUAAUCUUGUCAAAUUUGUGAUUUUUUUUUUUUUUUUGGACAGAUUCUUGCUCUGUUGCUCAGGCUGGAGUGCAACGGUACAAUUGUGGCUCACUGCAACCUCUGCCUCCUGGGUUCAAGCAAUUCUCUGCCUCAGCCUCCUGAAUAGCUGGGAUUAUAGGUACCCACCACUAUGCCUGGCUAAUUUUUGUAUUUUUAGUAGAGACAGGAUUUCACCAUCUUGGCUAGGCUGGUCUUGAACUCCUGACCUCAUGAUCCACCUGCCUUGGCCUCCCAAAGUGCUUGGAUUGCAGGCAUGAGCCACUGCACCUGGCCAAAUUUGUGUUUUUAAAGAUUAGACUGGCUGCAAAGGGUUGCAAGGGGAGGGAGAGAUACUAGGAGACAAUUCAGGAAGCAGUUGCAAGAGAGCAAAUGAUGAGGAUGGCAUGGAUUGGAAUGAUUGCAGAGUGAAUGGUAAGAAUACAAUGUUACAAGUUAAAGACAGGAUAUAGACUCAGCAGAACCUGGUGCUUGUUUGGAUUUGUGGACUGAGGGAGGAGUUGGGGUCAUCUUGGGAUGUGUUGAUUAUAAGGACCCAGUGAGACACCCAAGAGGAGAGGUUGAGAAACCAGUUGAACAUGUGUGUUUGGAACUUUAAAAAUGUGUUUGAUGGCCGGGCGCGGUGGCUUACGCCUAUAAUCCCAGCACUUUGUGAGGCCGCGGCAGGUGGAUCACGAGGUUAAGAGAUCGAGACCAUCCUGGUCAGCAUGGUGAAACCCCGUCUCUACUAAAAAUACAAAAAAUUAGCUGGGCAUGGUGGUGCAUGCCUGUAGUCCCAGCUACUCAGGAGGCUGAGGCAGGAGAAUUGCUUGAACCCAGAAGGCAGAGGUUGCGGUGAGCCGAGAUCGUGUCAUUGCACUCCAGUCUGGGUAACAACAGCGAAAUUCCAUCUCAAAAAAAAAAAAAGGUGUUUGAGCUCCAGGUUUAAAUUUGGAAUUACUGUGUGUAGAUAGUAAUUAAGGUUAUAAGGGUGACGAGAACACUUAGAACAGGGCAUACACUCUGACCCUUGGUCUGGCAAUAUGUUUCUGUAUAGCCCACAAGCUAAGAAUUGUCUUUAUAUGUUUGAAUGGUUAGGGGAAAAAAGUCAAAAGAAUAAUAAUGUUUUCUCACACGUGUUAAUGAAAUUCAAAUUUUGUGUCUGUAAAUCAAGUUUUUUUGUUUGUUUUUUGUUUUUUGCUUUUUUUUGAGACGGAGUUUCGCUGUUGUUACCCAGACUGGAGUGCAGUGGCACGACUUCGGCUCACUGCAACCUCCGCCUUCUGGGUUCAAGCAAUUCUCCUGCCUCAGCCUCCCAAGUAGCUGGGACUACAGGUGUGCACCACCAUGCCCAACUAAUUUUUGUAUUUUUUAGUAGAGACGGGUGACCAGUUGAUUUAUUGACACAGAGGUCAUUAAUGUACUUUGAAGGUUAUUUGAAAGAUGAGGUCAAGGGAGGAAGCGUGACAGAAUGGAGAUGAGCUAGGUUGAGGAGAAAGGCAUAUACUAGGAACAGGAGGAAUUGGAGAUGGCAGUUGUUGACAGCUCCUUCUAGAACUGUGGUUGGAUGAGAGGAGAUAAAGCAUCUUAGGGAAUAUAAAGGCCUAAGGCAGACUAAUUUGGCUUUUGUUUUU